UAGUUCCAGUGAAGUUGGAGUAUCCACGUGUGCUUUACGAAACUUUAAUCUUCACGUGGAGAACGGGACUCUCACGAUCGAUAUAUUGACUGUAUGAUGCCGGUAUCACGAGCCUGUGGAAGCUGUAAAGGACAAUCUGAGAGAGACGAAGAUUACAAGUAGUACAGUGAAGUGAGAUUUCAAUGACGAAGGUUCAUUUUAUUCUUUACUUUAUUUUUUUUCUUUUUUCAAAUGUAAAUAAAUAUCGUUAUCAAAACUUUCUACGAAUGAUAAUUUUAAUAACAUACAAGUAUCGUUAACAAUGGUAUCUCCUGAUCGUAUUUACGCAAAGGCAGUUAUAAUAAUAUCUGUAUUGAAAAUAUUUGCAUUAAAUGUAACUCUUCUGCUGUUA